UCUGUAGAAACAUCAGAUGAGCACAUCUAGAUCUAAAUGCGACCAACCUCCUGAAACGGGGAACUGCAAAGUUUUUAUUAUACCAAGAGAUGGACACGGGGAGGUGAAGCCGCUUCUCCUGCACAGGAAGUUUGAAGGGAACAAGUGUCUCUUGGAAAAUCAAGGUGUCUUGAAGGUUUAAUUUGCAUGUCCAGCAGCAGUGACCCCUCCCCUGGAAGCAUCUGCUGCCCUGGCUCCAGGAGCACAAGGUCCCAGCAGAUAUCUGGAGUGCAAAACGCAGCAAUGGAUAUUCUGCUUGUAAGAAUCUAAAAGUGUAGAGCCCAAAGCACGUUGCUGUACUUAACCUAGCGACUUCCCACACUUUCCUGAUGAAAACACUGAGGGUUGCAACUGGGAUGGGCUGUGAUGCUUGCAGCACCCA